AUAUUUCUUUAUUGUAUAUUUAGAACCUUUCUUUUCUGCUGGUUGUAAAUUCUAUUAAACUUAAUAGUGUGCUUAUUUUAAUUUUUGCAGAAAGGUUUCACUGUUCCUGAAGAUCGUAAAGGAUAUGUGAUAAAACAAGCAUCAAAGAGGUGGAGAGCAUUCAAGGCUAGAUUAAGAAAAGAUUUUAUGUAAGAGUGUGACGAGGAGGGAAAUGCUACAGAUGUCAUUAUCUGGACACCACCGAGUUUGUAUCCAUGGAUAACCGUAGAUGAUUGGAAAAAGUUCGUUGAAACAAGUAUUGAUAAUAAGUUUAAGGAAUUGAGUGAACUGAAUCGAGAAAGGGCUAAAAAGAGGAAGACUUCUUAUCGUGGGGGUCGAAAAGGGUACUCUUAUUAUGAGGACGAGAUUGCUAAGGAAUUGCAGAAUCAAGGAAUUCAAGUUGUAGAUGUACCUCGGCAUUUGGUUUGGAUUAGAGCUCAUUCUAGAGAAGAGGGAGGAGUUCUAAAAUUUGACAAUCUGGCAAAUUUGGAAAUAGCUCAAGCAAUUAAAGAAUUAGAGGCUCAAUAAUAAUCAAGGAGAAAUUGAUGCAUCAGGGCGCAAUAAUAUAUUGGCAAGAGCAUUAAACACUCCUGAACAUGGUGGUUGUGUGAGGGCCGUAGGAGGUGUCACAAACAAGGAGUAUUUCGGGUACAAGAAGCCUACACCCGCUAACCAAGUGCAAUCAGAGCUCAAGCAAGUCAAAACAAAGUUAGAAAAUGUGACAAACAAUCAAAAUUUUCCGAUGUCUUUUAUUAUGUCUAAUUUUCAAUUGACUCCGAAACAAUUCCAACAAAUUCAACUUGGUAGUUCAAGUGCCCAAUUUGGGGGAUUUGGUGUCAACCAUGAUGUGUACAGUGCUACAUUUGGUGAAUUACUUAGCAGCCAUGGUUUAGAUGGAUCAGGUGAUAGGCAAAUAAUUGGUGAAUUGGGUAAGAACCAAUCACACCUUCUACUCAUUCUAUACUAUCACAAUCAUCAUCCACCAAGUAUGUGAUCACUCCUGAGGAGAAAUUGAAGUUGACCACCAGUUUGGUGCGCUUUGUAGGAAGUUAGCUAUUGAAAUGAAAAAGAGUGAAAAAACCAUACCUAUCAAAGUCCCGAAGAAUGUGUUUUAUAAUGAGCAGGAAAUUACCAUUGAUUAUGAAGAUAUGCGUGAUUGGUGCUUUCAAAGAAAGAUAGGAACAAGUCGCAUGACAACUUUUAUGAUGUAAGUGUGGUGAUAAUAUAAAUGGUGAAUUUCACUUUACUUAGUUGAUUUUUUUUUACUGUUCUAAUUGAUUUUUUUGUUUUUGUUUUUGUUAUUAUUAUUAUUAUUAUUAUUAUUAUUAUUUUGAAAGGCACUUGAGUGAAAUGGUUCAUUCACUAGGUAUCUCAGGAAUCUAUGCAUUUUGUGAUUCUAAUUUCAUAUCCCCUGAAACUCCAACGCAAGAAAAUGAAAAUGAUCGAUGUGACUAUUUGGUUAGAGUCUUUGCUCGCAAUAAUGCACAAAAUUGAAACCAAAUAUUCUUUGCUCCAUACACUGAUAACAUGCACUGGAUGUUGGCGGUGAUUUGUCCACGGGUUGGAUUAGUACAUUGUCUAGAUCCAGCAGGAGCAGAAUUUCAACCUCAUCAAUUUGCUCAAGAUAUCAUCAAUAAGUAUAUGCAUGAGCUUUUAAUUGUUAUAUUGUAAUCUUAUUAGGUUAUUAGUUCUGAUAUUAGAAGGAAAAAAAAAAAAAAAAAAAAAAAAAAAAAAACUAAACCAGUCCUUAUGGCAAUACAGGGCAAUUUUGAGAUUUAACUUGGAGUACCGAGCAGAAAUUAAGUGGAAUAAGAAUUCAGCCAUUAAAUGGAAACAAGUAGAGUGCCCUCGUCAAGAUUUCGACUUCGAUUGUGGAUAUUAUGUUUGUCGUUACAUGAUAGAGACAAUUCAAUCUAGAAAGUCAUAUGUACCAGACAAGGUAUUACUCUUCCUUAAUUGUAUGCAGAGGUGAGCUUUAGGUCUUGCAAAUUUAGACAACCUACUGGUAGUUUCUAGCAAUUUAAUGUGAUUUUUUUCAAGGUUUAACCGGUAAUUUCUUGUUCAUUUUCCUGUUUUAUUUUCAACUACUAUAAUUCUUAUCUCAUUAUGUAAAAUCAUAGAGCAUUCUUCUUGUGAAUUCAUUAAGGACCUACAUUAUAUUGCUUAUUAUAUAUGUUAUGAAGAUCUACAUUUGUAUUGGUUACCUAAAUAAUAUUGGUUUGCUGCUAUAUUAAGAAUCUUUACUCUAUAUAAGAGUGUAACAAAGCUAUAUUUAGCUCACUUUUCUAUAUAAUCUUGACUGGAAAACUAUUACCCAGAAAACUAUCACUUGACUGCUUGAUUGAAGGAUUUUUGGCAAUCAAGCAGAAUAUUCAGAGUACAAACUAUCACCCAGAAAACUAUCACUUCACUGGAUAUGCAAUCUUUGAUUCACAAUUUCUACAGGAUUCACAAUCAGUUAAAUUUAACAAAACUAACAGUUUUCAACAAGUUCUAUAGCUUUCCUUUUAAUUCAGAGUACAAUAAUCUAUGCUACAACUCAUAUUUUCUAUGAAGCUUAUUAGGUACCAAGUUAUAAGUCUGCUAGACUAAUAAAAGUGUAUACCCAUUACCCAGUUGGACAGUUAGCCCACCUACUUGCCUAUCUAACUGCUAACGCAUUAUGCUUAAAGCAGAAAGAAAUGAAGCAGCCUGAUAACACUUGAGCCAGGCACUACAAGCUUGACUAAGACAAACCCAAACAGAUGCAAUGAUUUCAGAGCUUUUUUCUCCCAAAAUUUUUUUCUUUGCUUGUUUACCAGACAAGGAAGGGGCUAGAGGGCAGAGGGGAGGGUGGAUAUUUUUCAUCUACUUAGAAUCCUAAUAAAAACUCUAGAUCACCACCAAACAAAACCCCUCACCUAUCAAGCAAGAAGAUGAUAGCCUACAAUAGAGCCAAUGCUUUUGACAUGACUCUGGCAAAACUUAUGAACUAAAAGUUAGCAAAAACACAGUAUAUUACCCUUUAUGAGGUGUGUGAAGUGGCUGAUACAAAGCAACAACAUGCAACAAAAACCCAACUCAUAAAAUUUAAUGAAGUGGCUCCCACCAAGGUUUCCAUCAGUCCAUAGGCUUCACCAAGGGCAAUAAAUAUAUCAACCCAUUUCAGCUUAUAUAGCUUAUAAUACAGUCCUUAUAACAAACAUUAUGCACGGAAGCAACCAAGACUCCUAAUCGUGACUUUAUACAUUGUGUCCUAGCAAUGUGUAUAAAUGUAAGGAUAAUAUUACUGAAGAAGCCUCCUAAUUUUUCUCUGGUUGUUCCAGUUCCUAAGGAUAAUAUAAGUAUCUGUUAUAAUCUGAUGGUUUUAUAGGGUAGAA